rnacentral:rRNA from 1 species
CCUACGGGUGGCAGCAGUGAGGAAUAUUGGUCAAUGGGCGAGAGCCUGAACCAGCCAAGUCGCGUGAGGGAGUACUGCCCUAUGGGUUGUAAACCGCUUUUGUCGGGGAGCAAAAGCCGGACGUGUCCGGCUGUGAGAGUACCCGAAGAAAAAGCAUCGGCUAACUCCGGGCCAGCAGCCGCGGUAAUACGGGGGAUGCGAGCGUUAUCCGGAUUUAUUGGGUUUAAAGGGUGCGCAGGCGGAUUUUUAAGUCAGCGGUAAAAUCGUGGGGCUCAACCCCAUCCAGCCGUUGAAACUGGGGAUCUAGAGUGUGCGAGAGGUAUGCGGAAUGCGUGGUGUAGCGGUGAAAUGCAUAGAUAUCACGCAGAACCCCGAUUGCGAAGGCAGCAUACCGGUGCACAACUGACGCUCAGGCACGAAAGCGUGGGUAUCGAACAGGAUUAGAUACCCCGGUAGUC